UCAUUUGAUAUUGGCCGGUGUUAGUAGUGCUCCGG
rnacentral:sRNA from 1 species